ensembl:misc_RNA Metazoa_SRP Metazoan signal recognition particle RNA
GCCGGGCGUGGUGGCGCACGCCUGUAAUCCCAGCUACUCGGGAGGCUGAGGCAGGAGAAUCACUUGAACCCGGGAGGCGGAGGUUGCCAUGAGCUGAGACUGCCAUGAGCUGAGAUUGCGGCACUGCACUCCAGCCUGGGUGACAGAGUGAGACUCCGUCUCAA